rnacentral:other from 1 species
UGUCCCCUGCGGUGUUCGUCAGACCCAUAUAUUCUUUGAACCAAGUACUUAAACAGGUCGCGAACCACUACGCUGCUGUUGUGAACGUCCCCAGCGGAUUCCUUGGCGGAUGAUCCUGAUGCGGCAGGGAAGCGACCCUCUUGAACCUUUCGGUUCGAGAUGCUGGGUCAACGGCACAGGCGGGGGACUU